AUUUUUUAGGUAUUGCGGGUGGUGAGGUUGAGACGAGACGUGAGACACGUGGAUAGCUGUCGAUAGAGCUUCUGACCCAGUUUGUGUAGUUUAGUUACUACCUUUGUUAUUUUUGUUGAUAUGACUUAGACAUCUAUAUGGUUCAGUAUUUCAUUAUGUUUAAAUUUAAGAUUUCAGUUGGUUUUCCGAAUGAGAUAAAGAUUUCUGAAUUUUUGUGAAAAGGAAAGGUUUUCUACCCCUCGUGGUAGCGUGUUUUAAAAAAAAAAGGUUUCCGUGUGGGAAACAGCUUUCAAAAGAGUUUUCUCGUGGUUUGAAUUAGUAUUUCAAAAUAAGUUUCCUAGUAGGAAACGUUUCAACUGAUAGUUGUGGAUUUACACUCAGAUCUCUGUUUAUGAACCGUGAUGAAUGGUGUAUGGAUAUUGAAUGUAUGAUGACUUGUAUAUUCAUUUAGUUGUGGUUGUAUCCUGUUUUACACCUUGUACUUAUGCGACGCCGUGCAAAUACAGGGGAGACUCUGUCCGUGUGAACAAUAGAAUCUCUGUAUUUGUGGCGGAUCUGGCAUACCCUAGGAUCAGGUUUUCAAAAAAAAAAAAAUUUCUAGUAACUUCCGCUGUAUUUUCAAACU
rnacentral:lncRNA from 1 species